UCGACCCAUUACUUUUUGAUACUCUUACUGUGUUGAAAAUUUGAGCUCCUAAUCUGCUAUUUUUUCUUACUUUUAUAUGUUGAAUUAUAUUGAAAAUUUUAAGAUUCCUGUAGCUACGCACGUGUAUUAAGCCACCAUCUCUUUAGUUCAUAUGCAUUGCCAUAUUCUGUGAUUGAGUCAACUGAAACAUAAUUGGUUCUGAAGUCCAAACACUGAAUAGCAUGUUCUGUACCUUCCAGUUAUCUAUGCUGGCUCUUGGGUGAUGACUGACGGACAGUUCAGUAUAUGGCAAUAGGUGCCUAGCAGCCACAGGAGAUUUUUCAAGGAGUCAGAACGAUCUCACUAUUAAUAGGUGCCUAGGAGACACAGGAGAUUUUUCAAGGAGUCAAAACGAUCUCACUAUUAAUAGGUGCCUAGCAGCCUAUGGUUAUUUUUCAAAGAGUUAUAUAUACAGUCACAUAAUGCAGAAGCAUUGUCUUAUUUGAGGAUAAUUUAGAAUAAUGUCAUCAGUUUUCUUAUUUGAGGUUCACUUAAUCUU